CACCACAGCCAUAUCACCAGGCAGCCCAAGACUGGCUGCCCACUGAAGUGAAGCAGGACUGAGCCUGGUCAGUACCUGGAUGGGAGACCUCCUGGGAAAACUAUAGGUUGCUGCUAGAGG
ensembl:rRNA 5S_rRNA 5S ribosomal RNA